UCGAAAUCGCGUGCGAAAGAAAAAUGGUACAUGAUGAUCUUGGCUUUUCUUCGUUUUUUUUCUUCAAACUGUUGUCGUGUUGACUUGCUGUGUCUGCGGAGCAACGCUCACUAAACUGGAAUAAAACGGAUUGAACUCAUCCAUCUUGAAGUGUGUUAAUAGAAAUAUAUCCAGCAACCUACCUGAUGUUUUGCCGGAACAAUUACAACAUUGGACCACAUGCACUGGAACCUUCUUAUUCAAGGUGAUGCCGUAGAAUAGUGCCAAGAGUAAUUUCCUGAGUAGCUCACAGCACAACCCUCUUAUGAUUUAAGGAGCUUUCCUAUGGGACUACCAGUGGGGAAGGGCUGUAUUUAGUUGUUGCUGUCAAUUAUCUUGGUACCAGUCAUGACAACAUUUACAUACCUGCAGCAGAGGCCCUACCGACUAUAAACAAUCAUAGCUGACGGAUUGAACUAUUUCAUCUGGAAAGCGUGUUCAUAGGAAUAUAUCCAACAACCUGUCUGAAGUUUUGCCAGAAUAACUACAACAUUGGACAACAAGCUCCGGAACUUUGUUAUUCAAGACAGUCCUUAUUGUGUGUUGGCAGAAAUGCAGAGUGGUACCACCAGUCGUCUAUGCCACCUUUCCCCUCAUUUUAGAGGCUAAUGUGGACAGUCCCUGCAGUUUACAGCUAAGCCCUCAGUAUAGCCCUAAAAUUUUAGGUAAGGGAUAAAUUUUGGCUACAAGCUUACGAUUUAUGCAAUCGUUUUAAGUCUGUACUUGUUCUGAGCACAACUCACAUUCCACAUCACAAUUUAAGAACCCAGACCAAAUCUUUUUCUCAGAUGUACUGGCUAAGCUUCAUGUACGUACACUACUAAUAUUUGGAUAAGAACUUUCUCAAAUUGAUAAUAAUUAAAUAAAUGAGGUAUCCCAGAUUUACACCCAGUCCUGUUGCAGAUACUGCCGAUGGCGUAGAUCCGGUACAUUGGGUCUGAGUUUCCAGUACUGGAUUGACAUCUCCAUGCAGCCGAACUAGAGCCAGGAUUAAUAUCAGACGGACCUCUCUGUGGGUGGAUGGAUUCAGAGAUGACCCCAAAGAUGUGGCCAUGACUGUGUCACAUGGAUGUGAUAGAUGAAACCACCUUGAUUUAGUUUUCUGGUGAUAAAUCAACAGACAAAGUGUUCAUAAUUUGUGGAUAAAUAGUGUUUAAGCUAGAAACUUUUCUACAAAUUUUUACUCAAGUGGUGAAAUGAAAUAAUUUUGCAUAUAACAAAGAAGAGAAUCUUGCUGUGGGCCGACUUCAUACACAAUUCUGCAGUCGUCUGCACUAGACCUGUUGGGGCAGUUUGAUUUGAUUUAUCAAUGGCUCUACUUAAAGCAAGGUUUUGUUUUCACAAGCUUGAUGUAAUAUUCUUUUUAUUUUCACACUAAAAAACACUGACAUUUGACAAGUUUCAUGACAUAUUUAAGGCAAUUUUCUGAAUAUUUAAAAAGGUAACAACCCUUCAAAAUUUUGUUUACAUCAUUGUUUUUGAGUGAAAAUUUAAGAAAUUAGAAAUUCUACCUCUUUUAAACACAAUAUACCGGCUUGGAGACUCAAAUUUAUCUCUAAGAUUGCCAGAGAUUCAAAUGACGUUUGUUCAAACUUGUAAAUACUUUUAAUAAAUUGAAUAUGAUAAAAAAAUAUGUUUUACUAUACAUGUACUCUGAUAAUGUAAGGCUUUACAAAUGGAGUCUGAUGUGUUUUAUAUUGUGUACUAUACUUUUAAUUCUCUUUUAUAAUUCAAUGCAAAGACUUGUGCAAUAA